AACACACUCACACACACACACACACACACACACACAGGCACAUACACGAUAGUUUGUACACUAAACAAAGAGGAGGAGCAGGUGCUACAAAUUCAGGUAAAACUGAAAACAGGGACUUUUUCUUGGCUGCACCCCAGCAACAUCCACACACGUUUUGCACGCCUAUACUCAUCACUUCAGCCGUGUUGAAGAUGGGAAAUCUCACUCUUGUGGCCGUCAUAGCAGUUCUCUUCACUCUUUUCACUGAAACCGAAGCAAGUAAGGUGCAUUUGUUUAUAACUAUGAAAGGCUUCGAAUCGUAGGACUGGUCUGUUCAGGCCUUUUGUUUAUCGGAGGACUCUGUGUCUUACUGCACAACAAGUGCACCCGGAAGCCCAAGAAAGAAGAUGACAGCAGUGAAAUCUGAU